rnacentral:lncRNA from 1 species
GGUUAAAGACUUGGACAUAAGACCUGAAACCAUAUAACUUCUAGAAGAAAACAAGCAGUAAGCUCCUUGGUACUGGUCUUGACAAUGAUUUUUUUUUUUUGGAUUUGACACCAAAAGAAAAGGCAACAAAAGGAAAAAUAAACAAGUGGGACUAUAUCAAACUAAAAAGCUUUUGAACAGCAAAGAAAACCAUCAAGAAAAUGAAAAAGCAACCUACAGAAUAGGAGAAAAUACUUAUAAAUCAUAUACCUGAUAAAGGGUCAAUUUCCAAAAUAUAUGAAUAACUCAGCUCAAUUGUGAAACAAUAUGAUUUUUAAAUCAGCAGAAAAACUGAAUAGACAUUUUCUAAAGACAAAGAAAUGGCUGAUGAAUAUAGGGAAAAGUACUCAACAUCACUAAUCCUUAGAGAAAUGAAAAUUUAGAAUUCCUCAUGGUGGCGGCGGCUGGUUGGGUGCGGCGCUGUAGUGACUAAUCUGCUGCUAGCCUGGUGGCUGAGCGUCGAGCUCCAGCCCGGCCUCCGAGGGCCCCUCGGGCUCCGCACCCUUGAUGCUGCUCUGGUGCUGAGCCCACCCCGGCCAGUAAUUUACGAUGGUAAAUUACUUCCUGGGCCAGAGCGUGCUCCGGAGUUCCUGGGACCAAGUGUUCGCUACCUUUUGGCAGCGGUACCCGAAUCCCUAUAGUGUACAUCCUGGAGGAUUCUAUUGUGGACCCACAAAACCAGACCAUGACCACCUUCACCUGGUACAUCAACCACGCCCGGCUGAUGGUGGUGGAGGAACGAUGUGUUUACCGUGUGAACUCUGAUAACAGCAGCUGGACCGAAAUCCGCCAGGAAGCCUGGGUCUCCUCUAGCUUAUUUGCGUCUCCAGAGCUGUCCAGGAAUUUGGUCUCACGCGGUUCAAAAGCAACGUGACCAAGACUAUUGAAAGGUUUUGAAUACAUCUUGGCCAAGCUGCAAGGUGAGGCCCCUCCCAAAACCCUUGUUGAAACAGCCAAGGAAGCCAAGGAGAAGGCCAAGGACCUUGCCAGCAAGGCAGCCACGAAGCAGCAGCAGCAGUUCGUGUAGCCAGCUCAGGCCCGGAAGCAGCAGCCUAGCAGACUACCAGCUCAGUCCCUGUGCCCUCUCCUCCUGUACUUUAUUAUUAAAAGCCAGCUUCUAGCCCUCUCAACUGUCUGGGUGGUGGGCUGAGGGUAGGUGCCCUGUUUGGCAUCUCUAGUACAGCCGGCUGGUUACCCAUGUCUGAGCCAGGCCUCCUUACCCCUGCAUCGGGUGGCUGAGGACAGAGGCACAGUGACUUGCCCACGGUCACUGCAUCCAGGUGAAGUGGUCGUAAAUGCUAGACUGUAAGCUCCAUGAGGGCAGGGACUGUUGUUUUAUCCUCUGAUGUGUUCCAAGUAUCUGAAACAAAAUCUUGAGUGUAACAGGCACUCAAUAAAUACUUGCUGAAUUCAAUUGGAAAAAAAAAA